GAUUAAGUUAUUAAGGGCGCACGGUGGAUGCCUUGGCACUAGAAGCCGAUGAAGGACGUUACUAACGACGAUAUGCUUUGGGGAGCUGUAAGUAAGCUUUGAUCCAGAGAUUUCCGAAUGGGGAAACCCAGCAUGAGUUAUGUCAUGUUAUCGAUAUGUGAAUACAUAGCAUAUCAGAAGGCACACCCGGAGAACUGAAACAUCUUAGUACCCGGAGGAAGAGAAAGAAAAUUCGAUUCCCUUAGUAGCGGCGAGCGAAACGGGAAGAGCCCAAACCAACAAGCUUGCUUGUUGGGGUUGUAGGACACUCUAUACGGAGUUACAAAGGACGACAUUAGACGAAUCAUCUGGAAAGAUGAAUCAAAGAAGGUAAUAAUCCUGUAGUCGAAAAUGUUGUCUCUCUUGAGUGGAUCCUGAGUACGACGGAGCACGUGAAAUUCCGUCGGAAUCUGGGAGGACCAUCUCCUAAGGCUAAAUACUCUCUAGUGACCGAUAGUGAACCAGUACCGUGAGGGAAAGGUGAAAAGCACCCCGGAAGGGGAGUGAAAUAGAACCUGAAACCGUGUGCUUACAAGUAGUCAGAGCCCGUUAAUGGGUGAUGGCGUGCCUUUUGUAGAAUGAACCGGCGAGUUACGAUUUGAUGCAAGGUUAAGCAGUAAAUGUGGAGCCGUAGCGAAAGCGAGUCUGAAUAGGGCGUUUAGUAUUUGGUCGUAGACCCGAAACCAGGUGAUCUACCCUUGGUCAGGUUGAAGUUCAGGUAACACUGAAUGGAGGACCGAACCGACUUACGUUGAAAAGUGAGCGGAUGAACUGAGGGUAGCGGAGAAAUUCCAAUCGAACCUGGAGAUAGCUGGUUCUCUCCGAAAUAGCUUUAGGGCUAGCCUCAAGUGAUGAUUAUUGGAGGUAGAGCACUGUUUGGACGAGGGGCCCCUCUCGGGUUACCGAAUUCAGACAAACUCCGAAUGCCAAUUAAUUUAACUUGGGAGUCAGAACAUGGGUGAUAAGGUCCGUGUUCGAAAGGGAAACAGCCCAGACCACCAGCUAAGGUCCCAAAAUAUAUGUUAAGUGGAAAAGGAUGUGGCGUUGCCCAGACAACUAGGAUGUUGGCUUAGAAGCAGCCAUCAUUUAAAGAGUGCGUAAUAGCUCACUAGUCGAGUGACACUGCGCCGAAAAUGUACCGGGGCUAAACAUAUUACCGAAGCUGUGGAUUGUCCUUUGGACAAUGGUAGGAGAGCGUUCUAAGGGCGUUGAAGCAUGAUCGUAAGGACAUGUGGAGCGCUUAGAAGUGAGAAUGCCGGUGUGAGUAGCGAAAGACGGGUGAGAAUCCCGUCCACCGAUUGACUAAGGUUUCCAGAGGAAGGCUCGUCCGCUCUGGGUUAGUCGGGUCCUAAGCUGAGGCCGACAGGCGUAGGCGAUGGAUAACAGGUUGAUAUUCCUGUACCACCUAUAAUCGUUUUAAUCGAUGGGGGGACGCAGUAGGAUAGGCGAAGCGUGCGAUUGGAUUGCACGUCUAAGCAGUAAGGCUGAGUAUUAGGCAAAUCCGGUACUCGUUAAGGCUGAUCUGUGAUGGGGAGAAGACAUUGUGUCUUCGAGUCGUUGAUUUCACACUGCCGAGAAAAGCCUCUAGAUAGAAAAUAGGUGCCCGUACCGCAAACCGACACAGGUAGUCAAGAUGAGAAUUCUAAGGUGAGCGAGCGAACUCUCGUUAAGGAACUCGGCAAAAUGACCCCGUAACUUCGGGAGAAGGGGUGCUCUUUACGGUUAACGCCCAGAAGAGCCGCAGUGAAUAGGCCCAAGCGACUGUUUAUCAAAAACACAGGUCUCUGCUAAACCGUAAGGUGAUGUAUAGGGGCUGACGCCUGCCCGGUGCUGGAAGGUUAAGAGGAGUGGUUAGCUUCUGCGAAGCUACGAAUCGAAGCCCCAGUAAACGGCGGCCGUAACUAUAACGGUCCUAAGGUAGCGAAAUUCCUUGUCGGGUAAGUUCCGACCCGCACGAAAGGCGUAACGAUUUGGGCACUGUCUCAACGAGAGACUCGGUGAAAUCAUAGUACCUGUGAAGAUGCAGGUUACCCGCGACAGGACGGAAAGACCCCGUGGAGCUUUACUGUAGCCUGAUAUUGAAAUUCGGCACAGCUUGUACAGGAUAGGUAGGAGCCUUUGAAACGUGAGCGCUAGCUUACGUGGAGGCGCUGGUGGGAUACUACCCUAGCUGUGUUGGCUUUCUAACCCGCACCACUUAUCGUGGUGGGAGACAGUGUCAGGCGGGCAGUUUGACUGGGGCGGUCGCCUCCUAAAAGGUAACGGAGGCGCUCAAAGGUUCCCUCAGAAUGGUUGGAAAUCAUUCAUAGAGUGUAAAGGCAUAAGGGAGCUUGACUGCGAGACCUACAAGUCGAGCAGGGUCGAAAGACGGACUUAGUGAUCCGGUGGUUCCGCAUGGAAGGGCCAUCGCUCAACGGAUAAAAGCUACCCCGGGGAUAACAGGCUUAUCUCCCCCAAGAGUUCACAUCGACGGGGAGGUUUGGCACCUCGAUGUCGGCUCAUCGCAUCCUGGGGCUGUAGUCGGUCCCAAGGGUUGGGCUGUUCGCCCAUUAAAGCGGUACGCGAGCUGGGUUCAGAACGUCGUGAGACAGUUCGGUCCCUAUCCGUCGUGGGCGUAGGAAAUUUGAGAGGAGCUGUCCUUAGUACGAGAGGACCGGGAUGGACAUACCUCUGGUGUACCAGUUGUCGUGCCAACGGCAUAGCUGGGUAGCUAUGUGUGGACGGGAUAAGUGCUGAAAGCAUCUAAGCAUGAAGCCUCCCUCAAGAUGAGAUUUCCCAACUUCGGUUAUAAGAUCCCUCAAAGAUGAUGAGGUUAAUAGGUUCGAGGUGGAAGCAUGGUGACAUGUGGAGCUGACGAAUACUAAUCGAUCGAAGACUUAAUCAA
rnacentral:rRNA from 1 species